rnacentral:lncRNA from 1 species
CUUAAUAUCUGCUCAUCCACAUUUAUGUCUCCACACUCUUCCUUCACUGUAUCUGAUGAUGCACAGGAUGACCUUCCCUAUCUUAGAAGAUUGUUGUUGACCAUUACCUCCUUUUUCCCCAUCCAGCACUGUAGCUAAGAUUUCACUACUGUUUCACCAACUUAGAAUAUCUCGUGACCCUCCAUUUCCCCCCAACUUAAGGCAGUGGCUACUGACCUUUUAGAGUAAUUAUGGUCACCUUUUACCCCUUCUUAAUCUGCCCCAGAAUAAUGUCUGUCCACUCUCUGUUAUCCCCUUUUUAUGUGUGUCACCCCUACUUAAUCCCUGGAAAUAGUACCUGUAGAUUUUAUUACUUCCUCCCUCCCCCAAUUUCACUUCAGCAUAUUUGUUACUUCAUCCUAUUUGUGACAAUGUCUGCUAACUUCCAUGCUCCAGUGUCUGAUGACCACUUAAUACAAUGUCAGAAUUAAGAAAUAUUGGCAAAUCCAAAUGUUAGCUGAUAAUUUUAUUACAUCUCUAGGGGGAUGUGUGAUCCCCCUCCACUUAUUUGUCCAUCACAGUGGUAACCAGUGAUCUUCUAUUACUCACUUAGCAGUCUCUGUAACUAUCCCCAAUACAGCACUUGGUGAUUCUUCCAAUAUGGUUCAUACUGUUAACCUGCCUUUCUCCUCUGUAGUAAAGGUAAAUGGCUGAUAACAAACCAUAACCACAUUUCCCAUCUACAUUUUGGAGCCUCCAUUGCACUCUCCAUAGCACCCUAUUAACAAUAGGACAAUUAUGAUGGGGGCCCUACAUUCCCAUGUCUGUUAUAUCUUGACCAGUGACACAGUAUCUGUGACCCCUCCCCAUCAAAUCCUGGCACUAUAUGCUGGUUCCUCACUAACCCCUCUAGCAUAAUGUCUGUAGAUUCCUCACUGCCCCCAUUACUUUUUGAGGCCCCCAGUCAUCCUUGACUACUCCCAAGUUUCUCAGCACUGUUUCCCCGUGUUUGUAGAUAGAAGGCCUGAGGGACAAGGAUGAGGUCCCAGCCUCAUAGACACCCACCUUCUGAGUGCCUCAUAAAGCACAGGGCAAUUAUCAACCCAGGAUGGCUGAGGAGGAUCUGGGGAUAUCAGGAGAUCACAAGUUGAGCUUCAAAUUUUUGAGAAGUGACACAAGAAGAAUGGUGAGAGAAAGCUGUGAACCUAGGUUCAAAUUCUGGCACAACAGUGAUCUAUUUAGGAAUUACUGUCUAGGAGUUGCCUUGAUUGCCUCACCUUUAAAAUGGGGUUAUGGAAUUUGCUGGUAAGUGGAUGGAACUAGCAUAACAUGUAAACAAUCAUGCUACAAGUGAAAUAAGCCCCCAAAGUCAAAGGUUGAAUGUUUUCUCUGAUAUGCAGAAACUAGUUCAAAAUAAGGGAUAAUAAGAAAGAGAGAAUGGGGGGAAAGGAAGGGAGGAAUUCCAUCAAAACAGAAGAAAAAAAUUGUUGAACUAAUGAAGGGAAUUGAUGGCAGAGAGGUGGAGUGGGGUAAGGGAAGGACAGUAGCAUUGAUCUGACUUAACUUUUAUGUACAUAUAUGAAUCUUACCAUCAUGUAUAUCCACAAGGCAUUAAGAAAAAAGAAAAACUAUAAAUAGCAGAAAUACCAGUAGAG